UACGGAGGGGGCAAGCGUUGUUCGGAAUUACUGGGCGUAAAGGGCGCGCAGGCGGCUGCUCAAGUCAGGCGUGAAAGGCCUGGGCUCAACCCGGGAAUUGCGCUUGAGACUGGGCUGGCUUGAGUGCGGGAGAGGGUAGCGGAAUUCCCGGUGUAGUGGUGAAAUGCGUAGAUAUCGGGAGGAACACCAGUGGCGAAAGCGGCUACCUGGCCCAUUCUUGACGCUGAGAUGCGAAAGCGUGGGGAGCAAACAGG
rnacentral:rRNA from 1 species